rnacentral:lncRNA from 1 species
GUUGGCAUCCUGAGUGGUGUAAGUCUUUGAGUGCCGAGGUGGAGAUCGAGGAUGAGAUCGAUCCGGGUAGAGUCUCUUCUAGAUUGCGGGGUUGAAGAUCAUUUCUUUUCUCGAAUAGGAUUUUUGGGUUGGCUAUGAUGACUCUGCCUCUCCCAUUCUGGGCUAUGUGGAGGUUGAGCGAUGCUGGUUAAGGUCCUUCCCU